GGGCUCUUAAUGAAAAAUCCCCUCGAAGGGGUAUCUUUCUUUCUGGGCCGUCGAUCUCGAUCUGGGCGGUCCUCAGGUCACCAGGGAGGCCUCGGCGGCGGGCCGGCCGUCUGCUCCCCCUCCGGCGCGGCGGUCGCCAUGGACAGGGAGGUCGAGCUCGCCGGCGUCUGCUCCCUUCUCGUUUCCGGGCACGGUUUCAAGAAAUAAAAACACCGGGAGUUGGAGAAUCACUUCGCGAACUCACCUAAACGGUCUAAUCGAGCCGAGGGCGUGCAGAGAGGACGUGGUGCUCGCGGUGGCGGUGUGGCUUUCGGCAAGAUGCAAAGCUUCGCGCUGCGGCGGCUAGGGUUCCUCGGACGCGCGUCUAACGGAAAAAGGAAUCCGCUGCGAUGCUUGGAAGCUUUAUAGGGCGCUGGGCAACCGUUUUGGCAAGCAAAUCCCGGAGUUCUCGGGUUUGGUUCGGUGGAGAACUUCUCGGCCGAGUCCUACUCGCCCGCGGCGAGAGGAGGGGGACGAGCGCCGCCAAGUGGGGCCCGCAUGUCAGCCUGCCAGGGAGGAGGUGUACGGCCGAGCGCAGAGGGAAAGGACGCUGCGGCCUAAGCUGGGCUUCGGGGAUUCCUGGGCCGCGCGCAGGGGCUGGCUACGGCUGGGGGUUUUGUCAUUUAUUUUUUUUAUUUUUUUUAAACUCUUUCCAAUAUAUUUUUCCAAAGCCUUUUCAAAGAGAGUUUUGAAUGCAAAUAAAAUCAAACAGAAGGCAACAACCCAAAAUUAAAUAUGCACGAGCGUGAAAUGCACAACCAUGUUUUCUAAACUUAUAUUAAAUUUUAAUUUUGGCCAAAACUAUUUUAUUCACUAGAUUCC
rnacentral:lncRNA from 1 species